CAGCAGCCACGGGAAUACGUAGGUGGCAAGCGUUGUCCGGAAUUAUUGGGCGUAAAGGGCUCGCAGGCGGUUUCUUAAGUCUGAUGUGAAAGCCCCCGGCUCAACCGGGGAGGGUCAUUGGAAACUGGGAAACUUGAGUGCAGAAGAGGAGAGUGGAAGUCCACGUGUAGCGGUGAAAUGCGUAGAGAUGUGGAGGAACACCAGUGGCGAAGGCGACUCUCUGGUCUGUAACUGACGCUGAGGAGCGAAAGCGUGGGGAGCGAACAGGAUUAGAUACCCCCGUAGUCCCUGUCUCUUAUAC
rnacentral:rRNA from 1 species